UAAGGAAUAUUGGUCAAUGGAGGCAACUCUGAACCAGCCAUGCCGCGUGCAGGAAGACGGCCCUCUGGGUUGUAAACUGCUUUUAUUCGGGAAUAAACCAAUCUACGUGUAGAUAGCUGAAUGUACCGAAGGAAUAAGGAUCGGCUAACUCCGUGCCAGCAGCCGCGGUAAUACGGAGGAUCCAAGCGUUAUCCGGAUUUAUUGGGUUUAAAGGGUGCGUAGGCGGCCUAUUAAGUCAGGGGUGAAAGACGGUAGCUAAACUAUCGCAGUGCCCUUGAUACUGAUGGACUUGAAUGAACUAGAGGUAGGCGGAAUGUGACAAGUAGCGGUGAAAUGCAUAGUUAUGUCACAGAACACCGAUUGCGAAGUCAGCUUACUAUGGUUUUAUUGACGCUGAGGCACGAAAGCGUGGGGAUCAAACA
rnacentral:rRNA from 1 species